AGCUUUAGCCAGAGGAGACUGGCCUUAUUGUUCCUCCCACACAAUAUCCCAAGGUGUGUCAAGUCCCGCCGGACGGCUGACACAAUCCUCCCCGGCCUGUUCCAUCACCAUCCUGUCACUGACAGACACAUCGCACUGAUGACCCAGACGAGAGCAGCCAUGGAAGCAGGGAAAAUAAUGGAGGACCACCGGCCUUCACACCACUGUUCUCAAAGCACACGCUAAGGACAUGCACAUACUUUUAUGUGGGAGUUCACUGGCUCUGCAGCAUCUCCACGCCUCAGCCGUCAAACAGCUUGCAAGACAUCACAAACGUGACCUUUAGGGAAUACGCUGCAGUGCCGUGGAGUGAAGGAGGAGAAGAGCAGCCACGGGGCUGGAGAAUAACCUUGCUAAGAGCGGUCACGAAGGAAAAACAGCAGCCAGCCAUCACUUCCUGUUCAUCAAUCGCCGGUGAGCGACAGUGGCAGGCAGAAUACAGCAAAUGGCACUCAAACGCGUCUCGCGUAAAUGCUAGCUGUGACCAAAAGCACGCUGGGAAACGCGGGACAGGACGAGCGCGGCUAACAAAGGCGGUGCAGGGAUCGCUCCUCUGAUGUGCUGAGAGGCAAUGCCUACUGGAGCCAGACUGACUGCCUGUUCUGUCAAAUCCUGCGCCGCCUCCUCCCUCGCAGCCCGCAUGCAGUGGAAGGUGGAAACACGCUUGUCAGUUUUUCUCCGUUCCCACUGCAGGCGUGUGCUCUUCAACUGUCAGACCCCCGACGCGGGCCCCGACUGACAGAGCCUUUUCUUACAAAUAGCUAGUGAUGAUUCAUGCUUCCGUUUCCAAAAGAAAAAUGAAACAGUGCAAUUCGCUGCGGAUCAAAUUCACGGCUAGACUAAAUUCAUGCUGGCUAUAUUUGGAAACUAAAGUACAUUGUCAAUUUCUACUUUAUUAAAAGGAACAGUUCACCCAAAAAUGAAAAUUCUGUCAUGAUUUACUCAACCUCGAGUAGUUCCAAAUCUGCAUGACUUUCUUUGUUCUGUCGAACAUAAAGGAAGAUAUUUUGAAGAAAGUUUGUGUUUUGGGUCACCAUUGACUUCCAUUGGGAAAAAAAUACUAUGGUGACCCAAGUUAAUGGUGACCCAAGCCUGGUUUGGAACUACUUUGAGGGUGAGUACAUUUUCAUUUUUUGGUAAUCUGUUCCUUUAAGGCAGCAGCUAACCAAAACGGAAGUGUUUUCUGCUUAUAAUUUAAUUCAGUUAAUAUAUAUUGAAUUAAGUUUCAUUUCAUCUAAUUUUAUUUUUGUUUAAAGCCCUUUUUAAUUAAGUUUCUUAUGCUCACCAAGGUGUGUACAGUAAUAUAGUGAAAUAUUAUUACAGAAAUAUUUAUCUCACAACUCACAAUUCUAAGGGGGAAAAGUCCGAGAAAUUACGAGAUUUAAAAAAAAAAAAAUUCUAACAAAUCUGAAUUUCUUCAAUUUUUUUCCAGUUUACACUUCACAAUUAAUUCCACCAUGCAUGAAAUAAAAAUUAAUCCUGGGUUUAUAUCUUGCAAUUCUCAGAACUGUGAGAGAAAAGUCCAAAUUGUUCUAUAAAAAGUUGCAGUUACCUCUUAAAAUUAGCAGUUAAUUGUUGUGGAAAAUGUC